UACGUAGGGGGCAAGCGUUGUCCGGAUUUAUUGGGCGUAAAGGGUGCGUAGGCGGUUCCGCAAGUCCUGUGUGAAAUCUUCGGGCUCAACUCGAAGUCUGCACGGGAAACUGACGGGCUAGAGUACUGGAGAGGUUGGUGGAAUUCUCGGUGUAGAGGUGAAAUUCGUAGAUAUCGAGAGGAACACCGGUGGCGAAGGCGGCCAACUGGACAGAUACUGACGCUGAGACUCGAAAAGCGUGGGGAGCAAACAGG
rnacentral:rRNA from 1 species